AGCAAAGGAACAAACAUGUAUACAGCUGAGUACCAAAAAGUACCUUUCCAACGAAAUAGGGUACACAAUGAAAUAUGCAUGGUGAAAGGUACAUAUAUGUACCCUUUGAAAAGGUACAUUGUCAUAUAAAGUAAUAGUGAAGGUACAACAUUCACAAAUGUACCAUUAAAGGUCCUAUCAUCUUCCCAUUUGGGUACUUAGAAGUACCUUUUGGGUACACAUCCGGUAGGGUACAAAAAAGUACCUUAUUCAAGUCAAAGUUUACACUUCCUGUGGGGUACUAAGAAGUACUUUUCAAGUUACAGGGUACAAAAUCCUCUGGGGUAGCAGCUACUUAUGCGUGCCUUUUCUAAGACGGAUAGAGCCUUUGUCAUAAUUUGUAAAUGUGGUCUGCUGAAUAAUCUUCUGCACAGCAAAAUCUCCAGUUUUGAAAUCCUAGUGUUGGUACUUUUAGAGUAAAGUGUUAAAGUGGUGUUGAAUUAACACUAGCUAGUGUAAACAGCCCCCUCUGGCGGUAUAAAUACGCAGAGUUACCUUUAUUAACACUGUUGAGUGUUGUAAGUCACAUCCGGGACUCGUGUGGGCGCGCAUGACCCAUCUGAAACAUUUUUCACAGACACCAUUUUCUUUGCUCGCGAUGCGGCGCAUAUGAGGAUGGAAAACGGCGAAAUAAAGUGUUUAAUCUUAUUCAUAAAAUGUGUUUUUAUAAUAUAUCGUUUUAUAACUAUAUUUAUUUGCUGUGCGCAUAAACUUUUCUCAACGACAUUUCCUUUCAAUCGCGAAAAAUUUUCUCAAGAGAGAUAUUUUAUUUCACUCACGAUGGGGAGAAGACGGGGACUUUGGUUUUAUCAAAGGAAAACACCAUAAAUUUGUACUGCGGUGCACUGCACACGCGGAGGCUGCUCAGAGAAGGCAGAGACCAGAAAUCCCCAAACAACAAUGCUAUUUAUAUAUAGUAUUGUUGCUUCAAGUCAAGGCACCAGACGCCUCCAGGACUUGCAGGGCUGCAAGACGCUAAAGCCUGAAUGAACUGAUGGAAAGACAGAAAACAACAGGGUGGCCGUGACAAGAGUUGUUUCUGAGAUGUGCAAAGUUUUGAAGUGAAGAAAAUAUAAACCUGAAGUCCAUCCUUGCAGCGAGUCCCUUCAUAAACACUACCACAUCCUCCUUCACCCAACUUGCAGCCGACUGUAUACUUGCAAAAGUGGCCUAAUAACAGACAAACAAUUGUGGAUGUCCUGCACAAGCCGUUCCUCAGCAGUGAGGAGGACUUCCUCCGUUCUCUCUCCAUCAGUCUCAGCAGCUCCAGCAGGCUCCUCAUCAGGUGAAUUAGGAUGAUGGCUGUCUGACCUUGAGAGUCAUAUGUUCCAGCACUGCAGCAAGGAAAGUGAAGAGUGGGCCACUUCCAGAAGCUCUUCUUCUUCUUCUCCGUUCUCUCUCCAUCAGUCUCAGCAGCUCCAGCAGGAGCCUCAUCAGGUGGAUUAGGUUGACGGUUCUCUGCCAUGAUGGGGGAAAGUACAGAGGGACAUCCUGUUUCUGCUGUUCCUCAACAGCGGGGAGGACUUCAAGAGCUGGAGCUAUAAUAUGAAUUCAAUAAAAAAUAAUAUAAGUAAAAUAUUAA